rnacentral:lncRNA from 1 species
CUAACCCCUAAUUUGAUUAGGGAUUGAAUUGAGUUUGACUCAAGCAACAAAAGAAGUCCCAAAUCAUUGGGACUCUUUCUCUCCCUUGCGCCAUAUCCUGCCCAUGCCCCAAUGCACCUCCAUGCCAAUUCUCAUGCGCCCCUCUCUUCUUUGCAUGAGAAUUCCAUGCCCUAGCCCCAUCUCACAUCUCCCCUUCUUAUGGAUUGGGAUG